AUCACCCCAGAUCACAGCCCUACAUGAACACAUGAACCCCAAUCACCCCAGAUCACUCACAGUCCUACAUGAACACACGAGCCCCAAUCACCCCAGAUCACAGCCCUACAUGAACACACAAACCCCAAUCACCCCAGAUCACUCACAGCUCUACAUGAACACACGAACCCCAAUCACCCCAGAUCACAGCCCUCCAUGAACA